rnacentral:tRNA from 1 species
CGCGCUGGUGGAAAGCGGCGCCGUAUCGGUGACCUUCCAGGACACCCACGACAACCCGGUGUUCGAGCCGCUGCCGGGUGA